rnacentral:rRNA from 1 species
UACGUAGGGGGCAAGCGUUGUCCGGAAUCAUUGGGCGUAAAGAGCGUGUAGGCGGCCCGAUAAGUCCGCUGUGAAAGUCCAGGGCUCAACCCUGGAAGGCCGGUGGAAACUGUCGGGCUAGAGUCCGGAAGAGGCGAGUGGAAUUCCCGGUGUAGCGGUGAAAUGCGCAGAUAUCAGGAGGAACACCGGUGGCGAAGGCGGGACUCUGGGCCGAUACUGACGCUGAGGAGCGAAAGCGUGGGGAGCAAACAGG